rnacentral:rRNA from 1 species
AGAGUUUGAUCAUGGCUCAGAACGAACGCUGGCGGCAGGCUUAACACAUGCAAGUCGAACGUGAAGCCACCUUCGGGUGGUGGAAAGUGGCAGACGGGUGAGUAACGCGUGGGAACGUACCCUUCGGUUCGGAAUAACCCGGGGAAACUCGGGCUAAUACCGGAUACGUCCGCAAGGAGAAAGAUUUAUCGCCGAAGGAUCGGCCCGCGUCCGAUUAGCUAGUUGGUGGGGUAAUGGCCCACCAAGGCGACGAUCGGUAGCUGGUCUGAGAGGAUGAUCAGCCACACUGGGACUGAGACACGGCCCAGACUCCUACGGGAGGCAGCAGUGGGGAAUAUUGGACAAUGGGCGAAAGCCUGAUCCAGCCAUGCCGCGUGAGUGAAGAAGGCCUUAGGGUUGUAAAGCUCUUUCGCCGAUGAAGAUAAUGACGGUAGUCGGAGAAGAAGCCCCGGCUAACUUCGUGCCAGCAGCCGCGGUAAUACGAAGGGGGCUAGCGUUGUUCGGAAUUACUGGGCGUAAAGCGCGCGUAGGCGGGUCGUUAAGUCAGGGGUGAAAUGCCGAGGCUCAACCUCGGAACUGCCUUUUGAUACUGGCGACCUGGAGUUCGGGAGAGGUGAGUGGAAUUCCGAGUGUAGAGGUGAAAUUCGUAGAUAUUCGGAGGAACACCAGAAGCGAAGGCGGCUCACUGGCCCGAUACUGACGCUGAGGCGCGAAAGCGUGGGGAGCAAACAGGAUUAGAUACCCUAGUAGUCC